CGCUCGAAGGUCACGGAGGAGAGGUUGGGUGAGGACGACACGUGUUACAUCAUUAUCAAUCAAUUAUGGCGUUGUGCUGCUGUUGGUUGUUGUCCUUAAAUACUACACCACCAAGACUACAAUUUAUGCUGCCCGAGCUGCAUCACCAAAGAGCCCUAACCCACCCCCAGCAACGUCAACCUGCAGAAGGAAAGGCCAGUUUGUAUGUCGUUCACUUUCGAAGGUCACGGAGAUCAUUACGUAAAACUGUCAAUGCGGUGGUGUAGAGGUUGGGUGAGAACGGGAAGUGUUUGCUUCAUUAUCAAGCAGGUAAAAUAGCCGCAAGGCUUAAGAGAGGGGUCAGGGUGAGAAAAAGUAGUAUAAAAGGAGAGAGAAAAGGCCAUAAAAAUCAGUUGAGUGAGCAUCUCUGACACGGAACCGCAUCAACUGCUGUACACUAUUUGUCACCAACUGCAUUCUCCAACGUAAUACCAGUUCGCAACCAACUGUUAACUAUGGCGUCGUGCUGCUGUUGGUUGUUGUAUCCUUGAUGGUUGGGUCGACCACUGGUGUACCGAUGUUUCGUGGGUAUGGUUGAUACCAAACCGCAACGCCGCCGUUUUACUACACAACAACAACGUGCGCAACAACCGGAUACUACACUACCAAGCCCACUCAGUAUUACACCACAACCUAUGAUGUCCCGAACUACUACACCGAAGCCUCAAAGUAUAAUUCUGCCUCGAGUUACACCACCAAGGCAGCGGAGUACUACACCACCAAGGCAGCGGAGUACUACACCACCAAGGCAGCGGAGUACUACACCACCAAGGCAGUGGAGUACUACACCACCAUGUAUGCUGCCCUUGCCUUUUAGAUCGAGGCUCCCAAACACUACUCUGUUCCCAGCUACAACACCGAGGUUCCAGCUUAUUACACCACCAAAUCGGUUAAAUAUUACACAGAAACGCCCAAGUACUAGUAUUUUGUCCACUUUGCGUCAGUUGUCUAUUGGUGUUGGAUUUCUUCAAGACCGGUAUGCUGGAUUGUGAAUUAUUUGUUUAUGUUUUAGAGGUGACUACUGCCUUAUUCAUACGGACAUAUUCUUGUGGUUCGACGAUGAUAUUUCAAGGAGUAGUUACGAAAGACAUAUGUAAGUGUAGAUUUUAUCAAAUCUUAUAAAGUAAUGGGGAAGUGGCUGACCUUUGUAAUAAUGAAAGACUUUGAAGUUGAGAAAAAUAUAUUGAUACAAUUCAUAAA
rnacentral:lncRNA from 1 species